rnacentral:rRNA from 1 species
GAUGAACGCUGGCGGCGUGCCUAAUACAUGCAAGUCGAGCGAACAGACGAGGAGCUUGCUCCUCUGACGUUAGCGGCGGACGGGUGAGUAACACGUGGAUAACCUACCUAUAAGACUGGGAUAACUUCGGGAAACCGGAGCUAAUACCGGAUAAUAUAUUGAACCGCAUGGUUCAAUAGUGAAAGACGGUUUUGCUGUCACCUAUAGAUGGAUCCGCGCCGCAUUAGCUAGUUGGUAAGGUAACGGCUUACCAAGGCAACGAUGCGUAGCCGACCUGAGAGGGUGAUCGGCCACACUGGAACUGAGACACGGUCCAGACUCUUACGGGAGGCAGCAGUAGGGAAUCUUCCGCAAUGGGCGAAAGCCUGACGGAGCAACGCCGCGUGAGUGAUGAAGGUCUUCGGAUCGUAAAACUCUGUUAUUAGGGAAGAACAAAUGUGUAAGUAACUAUGCACGUCUUGACGGUACCUAAUCAGAAAGCCACGGCUAACUACGUG